UACGGGGGGGGCAAGCGUUGUUCGGAAUUACUGGGCGUAAAGGGCGCGUAGGCGGUUCGCUAAGUUGGAUGUGAAAACCCUGGGCUCAACCCAGAGCCUGCAUCCAAAACUGGCGGGCUAGAGUUCUGGAGGGGGUAGCGGAAUUCCUGGUGUAGCGGUGAAAUGCGUAGAUAUCAGGAGGAACACCGGUGGCGAAGGCGGCUACCUGGACAGAAACUGACGCUGAGGCGCGAAAGCUAGGGGAGCAAACAGG
rnacentral:rRNA from 1 species